GUUCACUCCCUUAUUUGGCAAUUUGUCUGUAGUGGGAAUCUUUAGAUUCGCUUCUCCAUAGGGUCUUUUUCCUCCCUAAAUGUCUUUGACUGAGAAGCAUCAGUCUGGCUUCUGGGAGCAACUUCCAAGCGCGCCUUUAUGUUCCUCUCCCAGGAGAGCCACGUGGCAGAUCUCAGGUGUGCAAUGGUGGGUGAGCGGGCAGUGCAACACAGGUGCGAUGUCAGGAGUGCGCCAACAUGACCAUGCAGAUAGAGCAGAGAGCAUGUGUAUACAAGCUUUAUUUCCUUAUGCUUAGAGUAAGAGGUAAAUAUGGCAUCGCAUGUGCUGCAGGCUGUUAAGUAGGUGAAAGGUGAGUUUGUGUGGCCAUUCUAUAAAUAAGCAUAUUUAAAGGGCAAGAAUAUGCCAAGGCGGAUAUUGUGAAGAAACAGAAUGGAAAAUGGCACUUUUUAAACAAAUAGUCUUAACAAAUAUUUGCUAAGAAAUGGGACAUUAAUUUGUUCCCUAGCAUGCCUACCUGGGGUGUAUGUGAUUUUUUGGUACUUAGGUCAGUGAAUCUGUCCUUUAAAGGAAGUUCUGCAAGUGAUUUAUUCUGUGCUUGUGCUGGAGAAACAACCCACUCCAAAAGACAAAGAUCAAUGGGCAGGAUACACCUUUGUUAAAAUAUUUAACAUUUGUUAAAAUGUUUAACAUCUUGGUUUAGAUCCAAGACAGAUAAGGUGAAGAAAACCCUCUUGAUGUCUUCGCUGUCAUAAGACAUACAUUUUGGACUCUUUUUCAUGUAGAAAGUGGCCCUUACAAAUCAGUUGAUGUUAGGUUAGCCUGCCACAGAACAGGAUGAAGCCUUAUUUAUUCAAAACAUCCACUGUCCAUGAGGACAACUGGUUCACAGAGCUGAGACAUAUGACCUUCUACAAUUUCCUCUGACAUUCAUGGUGUAGAAGGUUCCCUGGGGUAAACAAUGGCUUAUAAAUGUAGUUGUUUAAAUAAGUUCUUCUCUUACAAGUAAUCCAGGUAGUCUUAUUCCAAUUAUUUCUGUCUGGAAUGAUAGCAGAUGUCUUCUCUUUGUUCAGAGUUAAUCUUUUGAAAACAUUCCUUAAUAAUAUCUAUUUCAGAAUAUUGCACUUCAUUGUUGUGAAGUGUAAGUGCCCAUGCAAUGAAAACCACACACCAUAGAAAGGUAAGUCAAGCAGGGUUGGUUUGUGGUUUCAUCUUCCAUCUAGGCCAAAUGUCAGCUCCCCAUUAGCAGCCAUGGAAUUUAGGCAUUUCUUAUAUUUCCUGCAGGAAUUUGUCAAUAUCCUGCGGGAAAUCCAACAGCAGUUUAUAUACAAAAUGUAAAUAAAACUUUUUUCUUCUCCA
rnacentral:lncRNA from 1 species